AACAGACGAGGAGCUUGCUUCUCUGACGUUAGCGGCGGACGGGUGAGUAACACGUGGAUAACCUACCUAUAAGACUGGGAUAACUUCGGGAAACCGGAGCUAAUACCGGAUAAUAUAUUGAACCGCAUGGUUCAAUAGUGAAAGACGGUUUUGCUGUCACUUAUAGAUGGAUCCGCGCCGCAUUAGCUAGUUGGUAAGGUAACGGCUUACCAAGGCAACGAUGCGUAGCCGACCUGAGAGGGUGAUCGGCCACACUGGAACUGAGACACGGUCCAGACUCCUACGGGAGGCAGCAGUAGGGAAUCUUCCGCAAUGGGCGAAAGCCUGACGGAGCAACGCCGCGUGAGUGAUGAAGGUCUUCGGAUCGUAAAACUCUGUUAUUAGGGAAGAACAAAUGUGUAAGUAACUAUGCACGUCUUGACGGUACCUAAUCAGAAAGCCACGGCUAACUACGCGCCAGCAGCCGCGGUAAUACGUAGGUGGCAAGCGUUAUCCGGAAUUAUUGGGCGUAAAGCGCGCGUAGGCGGUUUUUUAAGUCUGAUGUGAAGCCCACAGCUCAACCGUGGAGGGUCAUUGGAAACUGGAAAACUUGAGUGCAGAAGAGGAAAGUGGAAUUCCAUGUGUAGCGGUGAAAUGCGCAGAGAUAUGGAGGAACACCAGUGGCGAAGGCGACUUUCUGGU
rnacentral:rRNA from 1 species